rnacentral:rRNA from 1 species
AUGUGGCUUGCGGUGCAUGGCAAAUGCCUGACAGCGGAUAAUCUGCUUCGACGAGGACGGCCGGCCUCUGCUUCAUGCCCCUUGUGUCUAUCUGAGCCGGAGAGCUGCGUCCACCUAUUCGUUCAUUGCCGCUUCUCGCAGCACGUCUGGAGGCUUUUCAAGGCUCGUCUGGGAAUAGACUUUCUUUCGCCGGACGACAGCUUCUGCUCCAUCGAGGAUUGGUGGCUACAGGCCAGAGCAGGAGUGCCCACGAGGAUGCGUCGCAAAUUUGACACCAUCACCAUCCUGAUUCAUUGGCGGCUAUGGAAGGAAAGAAACUCCAGGAUCUUCAACCAGACGGCUAGCAGUGCAGAAAGGGUGCUUGAUCUCAUUUGAGAAGACAUUGCCGUCUAGCAAUUAGCGGGAUGCGUUAUGGAGCUGGGUGAUUAA